rnacentral:lncRNA from 1 species
CAAUUACCAUUGGCAAUGCACAGUUUGCAAUGCCAGCUGUUAUAAUCCUUCAAAUUGCUGAUGAGAAAUCAUCCCCGUACUGGAGGGCCCAACACAUCCUAAAGGAGAAGACUUCGAGACAAAGCAACGGAUGCCAGGAAUAGGACCCAUGAGCAGCAUUGAUGGCGGGUGGGACCCGCACUCAGAGUUUCAAACAACUUACACUAGAAAAGGGGCACACUUUGAGUUGCAUACACAUGUUGAAGAUUAGGCGAGAAUUCGGGAAUGAGACACGAAUUGAGGUUUAAUUUUAGCCUCUCCAUCGCAAGCACGCUCGCUCUAACGUGCGAGACAAAGCAGCACUACACUUUCGCGUUUGAAAAUUGUUUCCUUAUAUGCUCCACAAUCCACGUUCUUUCGCCGGAGUAGAUUCAAACCGAAGUUUUUGAAUCAGACCCUGAUCGUCGUCGGUAUGCGGGGUCCCAUCCUCCUCCGAGACCGAUGUUUCACCCGAGGGUCCAUCUUGAAAGCCGGGAUUCGUUCCUCCUUGACCUUUACUAGUUGGCUAUGACUUGAAUGCUUGGCGCGAGAGUCAAGCUUGGGUUAUCUGUCGACGAGACGCUCGGCUGCUUAGCUGAAUUUAGAUCGGUUAGGACUUUGGAUGAAUAACAUUUCAUUCGGCGAAAGCUGCAUCAGUAAAGGAUCGGACCAAGGCCGUGGUAUUCGUUCCCGGUAAAAACAAUCACAGUGCUGCA